UCUAGCGGCGGACGGGUUAGUAACGCGUGGGAACGUACCCUUUUCUACGGAAUAGCCUCGGGAAACUGAGAGUAAUACCGUAUACGCCCUUUGGGGGAAAGAUUUAUCGGAGAAGGAUCGGCCCGCGUUAGAUUAGAUAGUUGGUGGGGUAAUGGCCUACCAAGUCUACGAUCUAUAGCUGGUUUGAGAGGAUGAUCAGCAACACUGGGACUGAGACACGGCCCAGACUCCUACGGGAGGCAGCAGUGGGGAAUCUUAGACAAUGGGCGCAAGCCUGAUCUAGCCAUGCCGCGUGAGUGAUGAAGGCCUUAGGGUCGUAAAGCUCUUUCGCCUGUGAAGAUAAUGACUGUAGCAGGUAAAGAAACCCCGGCUAACUCCGUGCCAGCAGCCGCGGUAAUACGGAGGGGGUUAGCGUUGUUCGGAAUUACUGGGCGUAAAGCGCGCGUAGGCGGACGUUUAAGUCAGAGGUGAAAUCCCAGGGCUCAACCCUGGAACUGCCUUUGAUACUGGGUGUCUUGAGUUCGAGAGAGGUGAGUGGAAUUCCGAGUGUAGAGGUGAAAUUCGUAGAUAUUCGGAGGAACACCAGUGGCGAAGGCGGCUCACUGGCUCGAUACUGACGCUGAGGUGCGAAAGUGUGGGGAGCAAACAGGAUUAGAUACCCUGGUAGUCCACACCGUAAACGAUGAAUGCCAGUCGUCGG
rnacentral:rRNA from 1 species